GCGGCGGACGGGUGAGUAAUACUUAGGAAUCUACCUAGUAGUGGGGGAUAGCACGGGGAAACUCGUAUUAAUACCGCAUACGACCUACGGGAGAAAGGGGGCAGUUUACUGCUCUCGCUAUUAGAUGAGCCUAAGUCGGAUUAGCUAGAUGGUGGGGUAAAGGCCUACCAUGGCGACGAUCUGUAGCUGGUCUGAGAGGAUGAUCAGCCACACCGGGACUGAGACACGGCCCGGACUCCUACGGGAGGCAGCAGUGGGGAAUAUUGGACAAUGGGGGAAACCCUGAUCCAGCCAUGCCGCGUGUGUGAAGAAGGCCUUUUGGUUGUAAAGCACUUUAAGCAGUGAAGAAGACUCCGUGGUUAAUACCCACGGACGAUGACAUUAGCUGCAGAAUAAGCACCGGCUAACUCUGUGCCAGCAGCCGCGGUAAUACAGAGGGUGCAAGCGUUAAUCGGAAUUACUGGGCGUAAAGGGAGCGUAGGUGGCUCUAUAAGUCAGAUGUGAAAUCCCCGGGCUCAACCUGGGAACUGCAUCUGAAACUGUAGAGCUAGAGUAUGUGAGAGGAAGGUAGAAUUCCAGGUGUAGCGGUGAAAU
rnacentral:rRNA from 1 species